rnacentral:rRNA from 1 species
GACGAACCGUCCAAACGUUAUUCGGAAUUACUGGGCUUAAAGGGUGCGUAGGCGGCGCGGAAAGUUGGGUGUGAAAUCCCUCGGCUCAACCGAGGAACAGCGCUCAAAACUACCGUGCUCGAGGGAGAUAGAGGUGAGCGGAACUUAGGGUGGAGCGGUGAAAUGCGUUGAUAUCCUAAGGAACACCGGUGGCGAAAGCGGCUCACUGGAUCUCUUCUGACGCUGAGGCACGAAAGCUAGGGUAGCAAACGGG